GGCUUAACUUUAUGCCCCUCUUCAAAGAAGGGAGGGUAUAUUGCUUUGCUGCUGUCCGUUUGUCUCUGUGUUGGUCGGUUGGUCCACCAACAGUUUCCAUUCAUUUUCUUUACAGAGGUUGCACAUAUUGAAAUGAAAUACAGAUUAAUCGUAAGAAUAAUAAUAUCUAUGUCAAUUUCGAUUAUGGGUACGAUUGAGCAAUUUUUGACAGAGUUAUGCCCCUUGAAUGUAGAAAAGUUCCAAUUAUUUGCAGUUUCUGUUUUUCUUUGCAGAGGUUGCACUUACUGAAAUGAAAUUUGGAAGCCUAUACAGAUUUAUCAUAAUAAUAUCUAUGUCAAAUUUAAUUUUGGGUAUGAUCGUGCAAUUUUCAACAGUAAUCUUCUUUGGACAUAGAAAAAAUUUCGGAUUAUUUGCAGUUUCUGUUCAUUUUCUUUGCGGAUGUUACCGAGGGAGGGUGGCAUAAGUGUUUCAUAAACAUCUCUUGUUAAAUUUUAUUUCUAUUAAUAUCAUUCACAGUAUAUUUAAUGCUAUAUAUGAAUAAAACAUGGUUUAAACAUG
rnacentral:misc_RNA from 1 species